ACACAAUGAAACGUCUAACGAUGGUGCAAUACUUGAAGAAAGUCUAAGAGCAUCUCGAUGCACUUUCCACUUACACCCUUAUGCGGGUUCCAUAAGCAGUUCAAAGUCUCAACAAGAUCGCCAAACAAGACCUCGCAGGCUAAAGAUUAUUUCAGUUGUCCAGCAGUCUAGCUUUCCUCAGCUGCAUGAUAAAGACUUCCAUGCUCUCCAGUACAAAAGAGUAAACCAAUCCCCCGUCACCCAUUUGGGUAAGCUCUCCAAUGCAAGAGGGUAAACUAAUUGCUCUCUAAUGUGAAAUGGUAAACCAAUUCCCUGAUACCCAUCUGGGUCUACUCUCCAGUGUGAGAGGAUAAACUAAUUACUCUCCAGUGCGAGAGGGUAAACCAAUUCCCUAACACACAUCCGGGUUUGCUUUCCAGUACGAAAGGAUAAACUAAUUGCUCUCUAGUGUGAAAGGGUAAACUAAUUCCCCAACACCCAUUUGAGUCAGCUCUCUAGUGCAAGAGGUUAAACUAAUUGCUCUCCAGUACGAGAGGGUAAACCAAUUCCUUGACACCCAUAUGGUUAAGCUCUCCAAUGCGAAAGGGUAAACUAAUUCCCUAACACCCAUCUGGGUAAGCUCUCCAGUGCAAGAAGGCUACACAACUCAAAAGAUAGAAUACUUAAAGACCAGCUAAGCAGCAAUGGUCAAAGGGCAGCAGACACUUAACACUCAAUAGUUCGCUCAUCCGACACACGUGCAUUACCGUAUCCUUCUAUCAGGUUGGAUGGGCCUGAGAUGGUUGUCAGCGGUACAUUUUUAGGUAUGAAGUUAGUGAAAUAGAUGCGUUCACGUAAAACUGUGUGCGUGAUUGCACUAUCUGCCAGACAACUAACUUUCCCACUAGUCAUUCCUAGAUGAAAAAUUAAUUUGAAUCAGUCACAUGCAUAAAAUUUUAUAAAAAUAAUUAUCAAUUCAAAAUAAUUUUUAUUAAUCAAGGAUUAAAAACUUAAUAUCCAAAACAAGUCACCAACUAAUAAUCCAAACAUAAAGGAAAAUUGUUCAAAAAUCAACCAAAAAACAAAGGAGGGGUUCGGCCCAUUGUCUUAUUUCAACUAAAAAUAAGUCUAUGUCUAAGAUUCUAAUCUUCCAUUAGGGUGGUAUCCGCCUGAAAAUAAAAAACAUCCAUCUUUGUAGUCUCUGGUUCGUCUACUUGCAUGAAGUUUGAUUCAAACUUCUUACGACGAGAAUGAUAUUCAUAUACAACCUUCUUGGGAGCUCGGCAAACACGGGACCAAUGGUCAUUUGAACCACAUUGAUAACACAUGUCUGCAUCCAUGGUUUUAGGUGCUUUGUUUCUUCU
rnacentral:lncRNA from 1 species